rnacentral:lncRNA from 10 species
CAAUAACACACAAGACACAACCCUUCAGACGUGUCCUUCCCCAAGCAAACUUGUGAACUUCUUCAAGAUAAAACUCAUCUGCUACCCCCUCAUCUCUCCCCAAAGAAGUUUGAAAUGCACGGUACCAGGUGAAUAUGUAGACAACUUAAAUUAUCUGCAUCAGCAAGCGACUCUGCAUUAACAGCUGAGGAGUUUAUGAUGAGUUGGCAAAAAGAGACACCUGUGAACCAGCGCGCACUAGACUCUUGAAUGCACUCCGGGAAUGGCACUCAGUGUCCUGAUGCGGACUCCAGGGCCCCCUUUCCAGUCCUUUGAAAUGCAUGGAGAAGGGCUACAUCCCUGGCUUCGAAGAUGGAGAAAGGGGCCAUGAGCUAAGGUCUGCAGGAUGCCUCAGGAAGCUGGAAAAGGCUAAGAUUCUCCACAUCAGCCUCCAGAAAGGAGUGCAGCUCUGCCCGCAC